AAUCAGCAGUAUCCAGGCUCCAGGCUCCAGUGCCAGGCACACCUGGCUCUCCCUUGUGUCCUGAGGGUCCAGGAGGGCCUGGCAUACCAGGAAGCCCAAACAUGGCUCCUCUCACCGCUUGACCUGGAGACAAUACAAUAUAAUAUGACUUAAUAUGUGACUCUGAAGCAGACAGAUCUAUGAAGUGACAGUUAUGAGACGGCGCCAGGUGGACCUGGAGGACCAGGAGGGCCAGGAGUCCCAUCAUACCCUCUACCUGAACCUGAAUACAGAAGGGCGAUGACUCGGUUGGCCACAUCGUCCACCAUCCCGUCCCCUGUGUUCCCUUGGGCUACCGGAGCACCAGGAGGCCCAGGAGGCCCAGGAGGCCCGGAAGGUCCAGGUGCUCCAACAGACCCAUCAUAUCCUCUAACUGAACCUGAUGACAGCGAUGACUCGAUUGGCCACAUCGUCCACCAUCCCGUCCCCUGUGUUCCCUUGGGCUCCCGGAGCACCAGGAGGCCCAGGAGGUCCAGGAGGUCCAGCCAGAUACUCCCUGAUGGCACCAUCUGCAUGUCAAGACCACAUCGUCUCAAACUGUUGAAUUGACUUUAGUUUUUCAUUAUUUUAUCCUUAUGUGGUGUGAUAUACUGUAAACCAAAGUAAAUAUAGGCACAGGGGUACAGCUUACUCUGAAGGUACUCUGCGAUGUACUGGCCCACAUCAGCUGGUCCGGGCCUACUUUCAUCUCUUCCACUCGGGACAGAACCACCUGGUAUAAUGACACAGAAUCCCAAAUAAAAUCUCAUGUACAUCUAGAAAAGA